AAUUGCAUUCGAAAGUGCUCACGGUCUGUCAGUGUCCUGGUCAUUGAUAGUGCAGGGAGAGGAGCUGCUGAAGGGCUUCCUCCUCUGGAGGGUCCACUCCCGUCUCUUCCAAAUUCUGGGGCUUUCCCACA
rfam:Canis lupus familiaris chromosome 26, whole genome shotgun sequence.